UACGGAGGGUGCAAGCGUUAUCCGGAUUCACUGGGUUUAAAGGGUGCGUAGGUGGGUUGGUAAGUCAGUGGUGAAAUCCCCGAGCUUAACUUGGGAACUGCCAUUGAUACUAUCAGUCUUGAAUACCGUGGAGGUCAGCGGAAUAUGUCAUGUAGCGGUGAAAUGCUUAGAUACGACAUAGAACACCAAUUGCGAAGGCAGCUGGCUACACGAGUAUUGACACUGAGGCACGAAAGCGUGGGGAUCAAACAGG
rnacentral:rRNA from 1 species